GUUGACAAAACACACAAAAUAUUGAUAACAUGUUUUAAUGGGAUUUUAUUAAGUGCAAAAGACAUGUACAUUUAUAAAAAAAAAUUCAAAACAUUUGGUUAACAUCUUUUGUGGUGAAAAAGUGAUUACAUCUGACAGAACGGCCCUACUCAUUUAUAAAACUUGAACCCUUUCCCUAUGCAAUGCAAACAAAACUGUUGCCAUAACUUAACAUCUAAAAUUUGAGGAAAAAUUUUCAUUUAGGCUUCAUUAUCCCCACGCUUUUCGGAGAAAAAGUGGGGAUAUUGUGGUUAUCUCCAUCUUCCGUCUGUCCAUCUGUCCGUCCGUCCUGGCCACUUUCUCCUCCUACACUAUAAGCACUAGAACCUUGAAACUUACACACAUGGUAGCUAUGAGCAUAUGUGCGACCCUGCACUAUUUGGAAUUUUGAUCUGACCCCAGGGUCAAAAGUUAUGUGGGUUGAGUUGGGGCCGGGUCAGAGAUUUUUACUCAUUUUUAUGCCCCCGGAUCGAAAGAUCGGGGGUAUAUUGUUUUUGGCCUGUCUGUCAUUGUAUGUGUGUGUGUGUGUGUGUCCCAAAACUUUAACCUUGGUCAUAACUUUUGCAAUAUUCAAGAUAGCAACUUGAUAUUUGGCAUGCAUGUGUAUCUCAUGGAGCUGCACAUUUUAAGUGCACCGGAGACUACACCGAAUGUCUUCAAAUUGAUACUGAACCUCUCUUAUGGCAAUACGGAUAAUCUCAACUAUGCAUGGCCCCAUUACCAACCCUGGGGUGCCCCGCCCACAUUGGCCACGCCCACAUAGACCACGCCCACCCAAAAUUGCCUUUUACUAUAAUUUCUUCAUUUCUACACAGAUUCACUUCAAAUUGAUACUGAACCUCUCUUAUGACAUUAUGGUUAAUCUCAACUAUGCAUGGCCCCAUUACCAACCCUGGGGCACCCGGCCCACAUAGGCCACGCCCACCCAAAAUUGCCUUUUACUAUAAUUUCUUCAUUUCUACACCAAUUCACAUCUAAUUGAUACCGAACUUUUCUUAAGACAAUACGUUCAAUCUCAACUAUGCAUAGCCCCAUUACCAACCCUGGGGCACCCCUGGGUCAAACAUGCGGCGUGGGGAUACACGUCGGCCUCUGCCGCGCCAUUUCUAGUUAUUUUUGAAAUCACCCAUAUUUGUGUAAAGUUUGGAGAAAAAUCAAGAAAAACAUAUUUAACAAUGAAAUACAUUUAAGUUGUUUGAUGAUAUUUUCAUGUUUUUCAACUUUUCCAAUGUCCAGAUAAAUACCCUAUUUGUACCCAUUGAAAACCUUUAAAACUUUAAUUUUGCAUUGUUGUUUUGUGUUUGGCUUGAAGAAAAAAGAUUGAUCUGUAUGCAAAUGUUUACAUUAUAUCUCACAAUCAUAACAAUUUCCAAUUUAUCGACAGUGGUGACCGGGUUUUAUCAUUAUAAUAUGAUUAUUAGUGCUUGUGAUCAUAUUUCAGAUGCCCAGGGGCCUUUAUGGUUGGGUUAGGGAGGGAUGCUCCCUUCCUUCCUUAAUUGAUUUUUUGCUCCACUGGCCAAAGGCCAGCGGGGCUUAUGUCAUGGUCCUGUGUCCGCCAUGCGUGCGUCCGUCCGUGCCUGCGUGCGUCCGUCCGUGCAUUAACUUUUCCUUUAAACAUCUUCUUCUCCUAAACUACUGGUCCAAUUCUGAUGAAAAUUCUCAGUAAUGUUCCUUGGAUGAACCUAUUUCAAAUUUGUUCAAAUUAUGGGCCUGGGGUCAAAUUUGACCCUGCUCUGGGGUUACAAAAUUGAACAUAUGCUUAUAUAAGGCCUAUUUUGUGAAAUCUUUCAAAAUCUUCUCAUCCAUAAAUAUUGGGCAUAGGGCUAUCAAAUUUGGUAUGUAGAGACAUCUUAUAGUCCUCUACCAAAUUUGUUCAAAUUAUGCUCCUAGGGUCAAAUUUGAAACUGCCCCGAGGGUCACAAAAUUUAACAUAUGCUUAUAUAGGGUCUAUUUUGUGAAAACUUUACAGAUCUUUUUGUCCAUAACCGUUGGGCCUAGGGCUACCAAAUUUGGUAUGUCGUGACAUCUUAUAGUCCUCUACCAAGUUUGCUCAAAUUAUGUCCCUGGGGUCAAGUUUGACCCUGCUCUGGGGUUACAAAAUUGAACAUAUGCUUAUAUAAGGCCUAUUUUGUGAAAUCUUUCAAAAUCUACUUGUUCAUAACUGUAUGGCAUAGUGCUACCAAAUUUGGUAUGUAUUGACAUGUAUUAGUUCUCUUCUUAGUUUGUUCAAAUUAUGCCCCUGGGGUCAAAUUUAUAACUGCCCCGAGGGUCACAAAAUUGAACAUAUGCUUAUAAAUGGCUAAUUUAGGGUAAACUUUAAAAAUCAUUCUUGUCCAUAACCAUUGGGCCUAGGGCUACCAAAUUUGGUAUGAAGUGACAUCUUAUAGUCCUCUACCAAGUUUGUUCAAAUUAUGCCUCUGGGGUCAACUUUGACCCUGCCCGGGGGGGGGGGGGGGGGGUCACAAAAUUGAAUAAACGCUUAUAAAGCGCCUAUUUUGUGAAAAUUAAAAAAAAAUUUUGUUGAAAACCAUUCGGACUAUGGCUACCAAAUUUGGUUUGCAGUAACAUCUUAUUGUCCUCUACCAAGUUUGUUCAAAUUAUGCCCUUUGGGUCAAAUUUGACCCUGACCCGCGGGUCACAAAAUUGAACAUUAUAUACACUUCUUGCUUGCUUAUUUUGUGAAAACUUUUAAAAUAUUCUUGUCCUUAACUCUAGGAUCUAGGGCUACCACAUUUUGUAUGUAGUGAGAUAUAGUAGUUCUCUAUGUGUCCAAUAAUUAUGUUGAUGAAGGUGGCAGUGGUAAUGACUUGAUAUGUCUGUGAGAUAUGAAUGCCAAAGUCUUCGUUUUACAUAACAUGAAUUUUUAUGUAAAAGUGGUGGUUCUUCAUAAAUUCUACAUGUUCUUUGCAAAUGACCUCUACAAAGUUGUUCCAGGAGUACCAUAUUGUCUGACAAUCUUUUGUUUUAUUGUUAACUUAAACUGUACUUGAUUCUAGCAUGCCACUUUACUUCUUUGAAGUAAUUUGAGCAAAUUUCUCACUGUUUAGUAAUGUAUACAUUGUUUAAGGUACAUUAUAAUUUAUAAUUGUAGGUGGACUUCAAUAUGUAUGAUCUACUUAUGCUGCCACAAUGUAAAGGCAACAAUCACUGGGUUUUGCUGGUUGCAAGUGUUAUGUCCAGGACUGUAUUCAUUUACGACUCGUUGGGUGGUAACAACAAGGCCUUGCUCGAUUUGUUCUGCCAGUUAAUGUGUCAACGAGCGCAAAUUGUGAAAGGUGGCUUGGAAAAAUUCAGUUCAGAGUUCAAAGCGCCACCUUGCAACAAACAGCGCCAUGGAAACAGCUGUGGAGUGUUUGCAUUGAUGACUGCCAAAUGUUUGGUCAUGAAAAAGCAUCCCACAAUGUUGCGACAGGCCAAUGAUUCAGUUUAUCGAGACUAGUCCUGAGACGCAGACUUCUGAUUCAUGGAGUGCGGCAAACAUAUCUGUGCGACUCGAUCACUUCACUGUAAAGACCCGCACGACAUUAAAAUGGAAAUUAUCAAUAUGUGUUGUUUCUCGAAAAUAUGUUUUUGUAGCAGGAAGUGCUUUGGGCUCGAUUAAUCUGAGAACUCAACAAAA